GUGGGGAAUAUUGCGCAAUGGAGGCAACUCUGACGCAGCCAUGCCGCGUGCAGGAAGAAGGCGCUACGCGUUGUAAACUGCUUUUAACCGGGAAGAAACCCCAGGACGUGUCCUGGGUUGACGGUACCGGAGGAAUAAGCACCGGCUAACUUCGUGUCAGCAGCCGCGGUAAUACGAAGGGUGCAAGCGUUAUCCGGAUUCAUUUGGUUUAAAGGGUGCGUAGGCGGAGCGUUACGUCAGUGGUGAAAUCCUGCAGCUUAACUGUAGACUUGCCAUUGAUACUGGCGCUCUUGAGUGCGCUUGAAGUGGGCGGAAUGUGCCGUGUAGCGGUGAAAUGCUUAGAUAUGGCACAGAACACCAAUUGCGAAGGCAGCUCACUAAGGCGAUACUGACGCUGAGGCACGAAAGCGUGGGGAUCGAACAGGAUUAGAUACCCUGGUAGUCC
rnacentral:rRNA from 1 species